rfam:Desulfitobacterium hafniense Y51 DNA, complete genome.
GUGAAUGAUAGAGGCGCAGUGUAUUAAGAGUAAUUAUCCCGAGCGGGUCAGGCUAGGACGGAUAAGGAAAGGAAUCGCUGCCGAAGCAAAGGCCCAGGACAAAGGGUCUUAGCUGGUCUUCCAUUGAAAAAAUGUAAGACUGUCACCGGGACUCCGGUGGAGUGCUAUCUCGUGA